GUGUCCUACGGGGCGCAGCAGUGGGGAAUAUUGCACAAUGGGGGAAACCCUGAUGCAGCGACGCCGCGUGAGUGAAGAAGUAUUUCGGUAUGUAAAGCUCUAUCAGCAGGGAAGAAAAUGACGGUACCUGACUAAGAAGCCCCGGCUAACUACGUGCCAGCAGCCGCGGUAAUACGUAGGGGGCAAGCGUUAUCCGGAUUUACUGGGUGUAAGGGAGCGUAGACGGCGCGGCAAGUCUGAAGUGAAAG
rnacentral:rRNA from 1 species